rnacentral:rRNA from 1 species
GGGUUGUGAGGUUAAGCGACUAAGCGUACACGGUGGAUGCCCUGGCAGUCAGAGGCGAUGAAGGACGUGCUAAUCUGCGAAAAGCGUCGGUAAGGUGAUAUGAACCGUUACAGCCGGCGAUGUCCGAAUGGGGAAACCCAGUGUGAUUCGUCACACUAUCGUUAACUGAAUACAUAGGUUAACGAGGCGAACCGGGGGAACUGAAACAUCUAAGUACCCCGAGGAAAAGAAAUCAACCGAGAUUCCCCCAGUAGCGGCGAGCGAACGGGGAGCAGCCCAGAGUCUGAAUCAGCUUGUGUGUUAGUGGAACGGUCUGGAAAGUCCGACGGUACAGGGUGAUAGUCCCGUACACCAAAAUGCACAGGCUGUGAACUCGAAGAGUAGGGCGGGACACGUGGUAUCCUGUCUGAAUAUGGGGGGACCAUCCUCCAAGGCUAAAUACUCCUGACUGACCGAUAGUGAACCAGUACCGUGAGGGAAAGGCGAAAAGAACCCCGGCGAGGGGAGUGAAAAAGAACCUGAAACCGUGUACGUACAAGCAGUGGGAGCACCUUCGGGUGUGACUGCGUACCUUUUGUAUAAUGGGUCAGCGACUUAUAUUCUGUAGCAAGGUUAACCGUAUAGGGGAGCCGCAGGGAAACCGAGUCUUAACUGGGCGUUAAGUUGCAGGGUAUAGACCCGAAACCCGGUGAUCUAGCCAUGGGCAGGUUGAAGGUUGGGUAACACUAACUGGAGGACCGAACCGACUAAUGUUGAAAAAUUAGCGGAUGACUUGUGGCUGGGGGUGAAAGGCCAAUCAAACCGGGAGAUAGCUGGUUCUCCCCGAAAGCUAUUUAGGUAGCGCCUCGUGAACUCAUCUUCGGGGGUAGAGCACUGUUUCGGCUAGGGGGUCAUCCCGACUUACCAACCCGAUGCAAACUACGAAUACCGAAGAAUGUUAUCACGGGAGACACACGGCGGGUGCUAACGUCCGUCGUGAAGAGGGAAACAACCCAGACCGCCAGCUAAGGUCCCAAAGUCAUGGUUAAGUGGGAAACGAUGUGGGAAGGCACAGACAGCCAGGAUGUUGGCUUAGAAGCAGCCAUCAUUUAAAGAAAGCGUAAUAGCUCACUGGUCGAGUCGGCCUGCGCGGAAGAUGUAACGGGGCUAAACCAUGCACCGAAGCUGCGGCAGCGACACGAUGUGUUGUUGGGUAGGGGAGCGUUCUGUAAGCCUGCGAAGGUGACCUGUGAGGGUUGCUGGAGGUAUCAGAAGUGCGAAUGCUGACAUAAGUAACGAUAAAGCGGGUGAAAAGCCCGCUCGCCGGAAGACCAAGGGUUCCUGUCCAACGUUAAUCGGGGCAGGGUGAGUCGACCCCUAAGGCGAGGCCGAAAGGCGUAGUCGAUGGGAAACAGGUUAAUAUUCCUGUACUUGGUGUUACUGCGAAGGGGGGACGGAGAAGGCUAUGUUAGCCGGGCGACGGUUGUCCCGGUUUAAGCAUGUAGGCUGGUUAUCCAGGCAAAUCCGGAUAAUCAAGGCUGAGGUGUGAUGACGAGGCACUACGGUGCUGAAGUAACAAAUGCCCUGCUUCCAGGAAAAGCCUCUAAGCAUCAGGUAACACGAAAUCGUACCCCAAACCGACACAGGUGGUCAGGUAGAGAAUACCAAGGCGCUUGAGAGAACUCGGGUGAAGGAACUAGGCAAAAUGGUGCCGUAACUUCGGGAGAAGGCACGCUGGUGUGUAGGUGAAGUCCCUGCGGAUGGAGCUGAGACCAGUCGAAGAUACCAGCUGGCUGCAACUGUUUAUUAAAAACACAGCACUGUGCAAACACGAAAGUGGACGUAUACGGUGUGACGCCUGCCCGGUGCCGGAAGGUUAAUUGAUGGGGUUAUCCGUAAGGAGAAGCUCUUGAUCGAAGCCCCGGUAAACGGCGGCCGUAACUAUAACGGUCCUAAGGUAGCGAAAUUCCUUGUCGGGUAAGUUCCGACCUGCACGAAUGGCGUAAUGAUGGCCAGGCUGUCUCCACCCGAGACUCAGUGAAAUUGAACUCGCUGUGAAGAUGCAGUGUACCCGCGGCAAGACGGAAAGACCCCGUGAACCUUUACUAUAGCUUGACACUGAACAUUGAGCCUUGAUGUGUAGGAUAGGUGGGAGGCUUUGAAGCGUGGACGCCAGUCUGCGUGGAGCCAACCUUGAAAUACCACCCUUUAAUGUUUGAUGUUCUAACGUUGGCCCCUUAUCGGGGUUGCGGACAGUGUCUGGUGGGUAGUUUGACUGGGGCGGUCUCCUCCCAAAGCGUAACGGAGGAGCACGAAGGUUAGCUAAUCCUGGUCGGACAUCAGGAGGUUAGUGCAAUGGCAUAAGCUAGCUUGACUGCGAGCGUGACGGCGCGAGCAGGUGCGAAAGCAGGUCAUAGUGAUCCGGUGGUUCUGAAUGGAAGGGCCAUCGCUCAACGGAUAAAAGGUACUCCGGGGAUAACAGGCUGAUACCGCCCAAGAGUUCAUAUCGACGGCGGUGUUUGGCACCUCGAUGUCGGCUCAUCACAUCCUGGGGCUGAAGUAGGUCCCAAGGGUAUGGCUGUUCGCCAUUUAAAGUGGUACGCGAGCUGGGUUUAGAACGUCGUGAGACAGUUCGGUCCCUAUCUGCCGUGGGCGCUGGAGAAUUGAGGGGGGCUGCUCCUAGUACGAGAGGACCGGAGUGGACGCAUCACUGGUGUUCGGGUUGUCAUGCCAAUGGCACUGCCCGGUAGCUAAAUGCGGAAGAGAUAAGUGCUGAAAGCAUCUAAGCACGAAACUUGCCCCGAGAUGAGUUCUCCCUGAGACUUUAAGUCUCCUGAAGGAACGUUGAAGACGACGACGUUGAUAGGCCGGGUGUGUAAGCGCAGCGAUGCGUUGAGCUAACCGGUACUAAUGAACCGUGAGAGCUUAACCUUACAACGCCGAAG